AGAGGCCAAAACAAUUUCCAUUCCUAAUGCAUGAUUCCCAUCACUGACACUUGUGUCUCUACCAAUAGGUUCCUCACAAGUUUGAUUAUUUUGUGCCACAUCCAGUUUGGGUUUGUCUGUUUCAACUGACAAAAUAAGAAAUAAAUGCCAUUUCAGUCAGGUAUAAGAGCAUUAAAACAUAAAGCUACAUUAUCUUCUGAUACACUCAGAGUUAAGACACAUAUAAGAAGAAGAAAAACAAAUCUUAUCUUGCUUUACAUAAUAGGCAAACUGCUUGAGAAAAUAUUUCCAAAAUCAAGCAUUGCUAUUGCAUUAGUAGCAGGAACUCUCAGAAUUUUUUCUCUGUUACAGAAAGUAUAAGGCUCUAUAUAAUUUACUUCAUUCUCAGAACAACAUGAAUAAAUAAUGACUAAACAAACAAGUGUUUUAACAACUCCAGCAACAAGAACUGUUGGGCCAUCUAGAGUUAUCAUCUGGAUAUGAUUUCCCAUGAUGCUAAACAAAAUUGCAAGGAUAGCAUAAUGCAAAUUUGUUUUCUCUUGUUCCAGGUAUUUCACCUUUUAAAGAUUGACUAUACCUUCCCCUUUAUUAUUUCCUGGAUCCUCUAUCUGUAGAAAAGAAAUGUCCACUGCAUUUUUCA
rnacentral:misc_RNA from 1 species